rnacentral:rRNA from 1 species
UACGUAGGUGACAAGCGUUGUCCGGAUUUAUUGGGCGUAAAGCGAGCGCAGGCGGUCCGGUAAGUCUGAUGUGAAAGCCCACGGCUCAACCGUGGAACGGCAUUGGAAACUGGCGGACUUGAAUGUAGCAGAGGAAAGUGGAAUUCCAUGUGUAGCGGUGGAAUGCGUAGAUAUAUGGAGGAACACCAGUGGCGAAAGCGACUUUCUGGGCUAUGAUUGACGCCGAGGCUCGAAAGCGUGGGGAGCGAACAGGAUUAGAUACCCUGGUAGUCCACGCCGUAAACGAUGAGUGCUAAGUGUUGGAGGGUUUCCGCCCUUCAGUGCUGGAGUUAACGCAUUAAGCACUCCGCCUGGGGAUUACGACCGCAAGGUUGAAACUCAAAAGAAUUGACGGGGACCCGCACAAGCGGUGGAGCAUGUGGUUUAAUUCGAAGCAACGCGAAGAACCUUACCAGCUCUUGACAUCUUCUGCCACCUUCAGAGAUGAAGGGUUCCCUUCGGGGACAGAAUGACAGGUGGUGCAUGGUUGUCGUCAGCUCGUGUCGUGAGAUGUUGGGUUAAGUCCCGUAACGAGCGCAACCCUUAUUGUUAGUUGCCAGCAUUGAGUUGGGCACUCUAGCAAGACUGCCGGUGAUAAACCGGAGGAAGGCGGGGAUGACGUCAAAUCAUCAUGCCCCUUAUGAGCUGGGCUACACACGUGCUACAAUGGAUGGUACAACGAGUGGCGAGACCGUGAGGUUUAGCUAAUCUCCCAAAGCCAUUCUCAGUUCGGAUUGCAGGCUGCAACUCGCCUGCAUGAAGUCGGAAUCGCUAGUAAUCGCGGAUCAGAAUGCCGCGGUGAAUUCGUUCCCGGGUCU